ensembl:lncRNA
UUUUUUUUUUUUUCCUUUUUAGGGCUGUACCGGUGGCAGAUGGAGGUUCUCCUUAUCUACCUAAUUGGGUGUCAUUUACAAAUAAUGAAAUAUAAAGAUCUUAAAUACAAAAUGUUUUGACAAAUACAUAAACCCAUGUAAAGAGCAUCUCAGCCAAGAGAGGGCACAUUUCCAUGAACGGGAACCAAGCGGCUGUAACGUUUUGCAAUCCGUCGCCCUCCCCCCAACUAGAGGUUAACGCUUAUGAGUUCCAUCCACACAGACCAGUGCUGCCCGUUCUUGAACUUCAGACGACGGAGUCACCCAGGAUGUGCUCUUUCACUCCGCACGCUUUUGAGACUCAUUCAUGCCGUGGUGCCUAUCAGUUGCUGGUUUGUGCCUUCUGCUGAGCAGUCUUCCACUGCAGAAGUGAAACAAGACUUGCUUAUCCAUUUGUCCACAGAUGAGCAUUCGGGUUCUUUCCAGCUUUGGGAUGUUAUGAAUCAAGCUGCCAGGAGCAUUCCCGCCCAAAUCUUUCUGCGGAUUUAGGCUCUCAUUCCUCAUGGGUAAAUACCCGGGAUGGAGUCACUGGAUCUUCACUACGCGUGCGUAGCGUUUUCAUAAAACUGCCUAACGGUUUUUAAAGCUGCUGUACCUUUUCACGUUCCCCCACCAACGCUGGAGGCAUUUAAGCCGUCUUGUGGGAGUGAGGAGAUAGCUUUCAUUUGCAUUUCCCUGGUGACUAACGAGGCCCAACACGCCUUUGGACAUGUUCUUUUGUGAAGCGUCUGUUGGAAUUUCGUGCCCAUUUUUGCUGCUUUUAGUGUUUCAAGAAAUCCCUGCCUACCUGAAGGUCAUUAGAGAUCCUCCCGUAUUCUCUUCUAGAAGCUGUAGCAUUUUAGCUUCUAGUUUAUUAAGGUCCGUGAUCUAGUUCAAAUUUAUGUUUCUGCAUUAACCAGUGAUGGACAGGUUGUCAAGUGUCAGGACUCCGUUAUUUUUAUUCGAUUUUCCACCUUUUCUUGUGGCACAACUCGCGUCAUCAAGUCAAGUGUAGAAACACGACGAACAAAAAAGCUAAAAAAUGUUCCACUUGUUUACAUCCGUGUAACCACAUUCAGAACAUCUGAGGACUUCUUUAUAUUUUCAAAAAUAUUAGUUAGCCUAUGUUAGUGUUAUUUUAUUUAUUUUUUUUAGGGCUGUGCCCACGGCACAUGGACGUUCCCAGGCUAGCGGUUGAAUCGGAGCUGCAGCUGCUGGCCUACACCACAGCCACAGCGAUGCCGGAUCCUUAAUCCACUGAGCAAGGCCAGGGAUCGAACCUGUGUCCUCAUGGAUGCUGGUCAGAUCUGUCUCCACUGAGCCACAAUGGGAACUUCCGUUGGCAUUAUUUUAAAGCACUACUUAUUUCACCAUAUUCGACAGCCUCUCAUGCACUGGAGGCCCGGUGCACACAUGGAUUUGUUGGCUCCAGAAGCAAGGCUCUGACUACCCAGGGCCUGCUGCCCGCAGUUGUGGGGCAAACCCACUAUUCCCUGUGGACACCGGUCUCCUCUCCUCAAGGGGUUUAUAAGCUAAGAGGGGUGCUAGGAAUAAACCAUGAAGAAACCAUGUUGAGUUUGAGCAAAUGACCCACAACCAUAAGAAUGUUCUAGAACAAAGACCAGGGACGGCAGAAGCGGGCAUCAAAGCAUUGCAGGAGCGGAUGAGAGGACGCGUCAGCCUAAGGAUGGAUUUGGGUAAGCGAGGGCAAUUAGGUGAAGUAACUGCCAAUGGGGAAAACUGCAAAAUAACACCAGCGAGUGCCUCACUUAGGAUGCGUUCUGUUGCUACUUUCAGAAAACCAGCAAAGUUAAAGCAAAAAGGGCAUCUGCAGAAUUCCCGUCGUGGCGCAGUGGUUAACGAAUCCGACUAGGAAUCAUGAGGUUGCGGGUUUGAUCCCUGCCCUUGCUCAGUGGGUUAAGGACCUGGCGUUGCCGUGAGCUGUGGUGUAGGUCGCAGACGCAGCUCAGAUCCUGCGU